CCUACGGGAGGCAGCAGUGGGGAAUAUUGGACAAUGGGCGAAAGCCUGAUCCAGCCAUGCCGCGUGUGUGAAGAAGGCCUUCGGGUUGUAAAGCACUUUCAGUGGGGAAGAAAGCCUUGGGGCUAAUACCCUCGAGGAAGGACAUCACCCACAGAAGAAGCACCGGCUAACUCCGUGCCAGCAGCCGCGGUAAUACGGAGGGUGCGAGCGUUAAUCGGAAUUACUGGGCGUAAAGCGCGCGUAGGCGGUCUGAUCAGCCGGUUGUGAAAGCCCCGGGCUCAACCUGGGAACGGCAUCCGGAACUGUCAGGCUAGAGUGCAGGAGAGGAAGGUAGAAGUCCCGGUGUAGCGGUGAAAUGCGUAGAGAUCGGGAGGAAUACCAGUGGCGAAGGCGGCCUUCUGGACUGACACUGACGCUGAGGUGCGAAAGCGUGGGUAGCAAACAGGAUUAGAUACCCUUGUAGUC
rnacentral:rRNA from 1 species